GAUGAACGCUGGCGGCGUGCCUAAUACAUGCAAGUCGAGCGAACAGACGAGGAGCUUGCUCCUUUGACGUUAGCGGCGGACGGGUGAGUAACACGUAGGUAACCUACCUAUAAGACUGGGAUAACUUCGGGAAACCGGAGCUAAUACCGGAUAAUAUUUCGAACCGCAUGGUUCGAUAGUGAAAGAUGGCUUUGCUAUCACUUAUAGAUGGACCUGCGCCGUAUUAGCUAGUUGGUAAGGUAACGGCUUACCAAGGCAACGAUACGUAGCCGACCUGAGAGGGUGAUCGGCCACACUGGAACUGAGACACGGUCCAGACUCCUACGGGGGGCAGCAGUAGGGAAUCUUCCGCAAUGGGCGAAAGCCUGACGGAGCAACGCCGCGUGAGUGAUGAAGGUCUUCGGAUCGUAAAACUCUGUUAUUAGGGAAGAACAAACGUGUAAGUAACUGUGCACGUCUUGACGGUACCUAAUCAGAAAGCCACGGCUAACUACGUG
rnacentral:rRNA from 1 species